AACCACCAGAGAUCUUGGGAAUGUAAUACUAAAGCAGCUAACACUUGAGAUACUUGCUAAAUUUAUCAAAAUAAUUAUAGUUCUUUAUGUAGUCUUUGAACAAGUUUUAGGAUCUUUAGUUUUUUAAGUGUCAUAUUAAUUAGUUCACUAAUAUUCCCACUUCACUGUAUUUCUUCUUCUCCAGAGAUUUAUUUAUUCAGAGAUAGGCUUUGCAUGAUAUCCAAAGCAUAUAUAUGUAUUUGGUAGCAGAGUUCUUGAAGUCCUGGGAAAAACAUAAUGGGUGUUUGUAUGGUUUUGGCUUAGGUCACCUUUGGAUUACUUAUUUCUUUAGUCUUUGAAACAUAAGGCUCCUCUAACCCCUAUUUCUAAGGACUGUGUAAGUAUCUUUGGUUUGCUUGAAAAAAACAAAACAAAACAAACUUUGUGCUGCUAGAUUUUAAGAUUUGAGAUGUUAAAAAAUCAUAUAUUUGGAAAUUCAACGCUGUUGAAAAUAAGUUUUGUAAACUAAUUUUAUUCUCUGUUGUUUGUGUCGAGAUAGGAAGAAAUCAUUAGUACCAUUCAGCUGAGUAGUGUAGAAAAUUGGAUUUUUUUUUUUUUUUUUUUUUUUUUUUUUUGCUGAAAGAAUGGAAUAAAGACAUUUUAAUCAAAUUGUUCUUUGUACCAAUUCCAUGUAGGUAAGGUUGUUCCAAAUACUUGAUUUUUUGACAUAUUUGUGUCCUUUAGGUAGGAACGUGUGUAUUUCUCACUUUUUCGGGAAAAACCAUAUACCUUAUUUUUUCUACUUUCCCUCCUCAUUUACCCAUGGCUUCAUCAUUUCACUCCCUGUUCAUGAUUACAGACUUCUGUUUUCCAACCAGUUAACUAUAUUUUACUCCAAAAGUAGGGCAAACACUUCCUGGAUACUACCAGUACCUACUGUAUUCUAAACUCAUUCCCUAGUUCAGGUGUUAGGGUUUCUGAUGCUGAAUAAGCAUGUGAGAUAAGGAGGAGAAAAAAUACUGUCUUGGUACUGGAGCAACUGAGAAAAAAGUUUCCUGACGUUGAAACUCUCAAACAUUUUCUCUUAGACUUAGAAAGAAAGAAAGAAAGAAAGAAAGAAAGAAAGAAAGAAAGAAAGAAAGAAAAGAAAGAAAGAAAAAGAAAAAAAGAAAGAAAAUAACUAUGUCAUUGUCAUUGCAGCCUGUAAUCUCAUGUGAAGUAUGUCUUUGUAGAGUGGCCUGGGAAUCUGAUUUAUUCAUCAUUUAUAACUCCACUUCAUUGGUAAAAUGUGUUUCAGAAUCUAAAAAGCAAGUUUCCAGAUGAACUCUUAAAAUAUAUUUUCUUUGAGGAUGAAUUAAUGUUUGUUUUCAGAUUUUUAUCAAAAAUACUGUGGUGCUGGUGUUAGGGGUAGAGUUAUGGACCAUGGAUACUCAUACCAUAUCUUGGGUGCUUUUGGGGGUUUGGUUUAAUUUGGGAUUUUUAGUUCUUUGAUCUUUCCUGUGUAGUUGUCUUGAAUCAAGAUGAUGGGACUUAAGAUUUUUUUCACUUCUGAAAAUGAUACGGAUUUCUCUGCUACCCCUAUUUUCCCCCUCCCCUCCCUUCCCUUCUUUUCUUCUCUUCCUUUUCUGUAUUCAUAUACCCUCUGAUUUCUUUUCAUUCUGUGGAUGCCCCAGUGCAGUCCAUUUUUAUUUGGUCUUUGUACUUUUACUACUUCUGGGUUAUUUUUUUCUUUUGCCUGAAGAGAUCUUUUAUUUUUUUCUUAAACGUAGGUCCGUAUUUUGCUUUGUAUUUAUUGGGCUCCUAGGAUAUGUGAACUGAUUUCUUAUUACUUUUGGAAUAUACAUAACCAUUAUCUCUUCAAAUAGUGUCUCUGCUGUAUACAUUUUAUUACUCUGAACUCCUCUUAAAUGUAUGUUAGAAUAUCUCAUUGUUUUCUGUUUAUCUCUUCUGUACAUUCUAUUAUUUUCUUUCUUCUUUAUGCAUAGUUUCUUUUGACCUUUUAGUUCAGUAACUCUUCAGAUGUAUUUAAUUUGCUGUUCAGCUCAUCUGUUGACUUCUUUAGUUAUUCUGUUUUUCCACUGGUUGGUUUUUGUUUUUGUUUUGUUUUGUUUUUUGAGAGUAAAGGAGUGUGCGAGUCGGGGAGAGGGGGAGAGACACAGGGAGAGAAAGAGAAUCUCAAGCAGGCUCCACACUCAGCGUGGAGCUCAAUGCAGGGUUUGAUCUCACAACACUGGGAUCAUAACCUGAGCCAAAAUCAAGAGUCAGACACUCAGGUGCUCCUCUGUUUCUUUUUGAAAUAAGCUUAGUUGCUUUUUAGAGUUUUCUAGUUCCCUGCCAGGUUUUUCUACUCUUUUUAAAAAAAUUCCUUAAACAUAAGCCUCAUUGGUUUACAAUCAAUGGACAGUUCCAAUAUCUUGAGUACUGGUAGGCUGUAUUCUGUGCUUUUUUUCAUCUACUAUUGGCUCUUAUUGGGUAGUCUCAUCUCCUUUGACUAUAUGUUAGGCUCUGUAUUUAAAAAAUUAUUUAUAGAGAUAAUUUGAAGCCUUGGAUGUUGUUAUUUUCCUCCAGGGAGCAUUUUCCUGUGUUUACCUGGGCCAGGUACCUUGGGAGUACUAGCACUCAGAAGCACCUUCAGUUUGGAGACUUCAGAUUUUCUAGGUCACGGAGAUGACUUAAGGCCAGGGUGCUGUGGGCUGUUGAAGGACUGUUUUAUUUCUGAUUCACAUGAUUAUUUCUCAAGUGCAGCCCUUUAGAGUCCUAGCCCAAAGCAUGGCCCCCUUUUCUAAAGCUUUCUUUCACAUAGUUUAAGCUUUUCUUAUGUCAGGUUGAAGGGCAUUCCACUUUUGCAUUCCUACCAUAAUCAACCAAUCUCCCAAAGAGGAACCCUGACAUCUCAGCUCUUCUUAUCCUCAGGAUAGAGCUUUGAUCAUUGACUUUGGAUGUAGCAGCUUCAUGAACCUUACCCCCCUUUUACUCCUUUUAAUCUCAUGGCCUUGGUUAGUUCUGAUUCUUGACUCCACAGUCUUUUUUUUUUUUUUUUUUUUGGCCUUAUGUUUCUCUUAUCUAAUAUGUUGGCUAAUAGGAUUCUUUUUAAGUUUUUUUUUUUAGUGUUUUAUUUAUUUUUGAGAGAGAGAGAGCGCGCGCUAGCAAAUGAGCAGGUAAGGGGCAGAGAGAGAGAGGGAGACACAGAAUCUGAAGCAGGCUCCAGGCUCUGAACUGUCAGCACAGAGCCUGAUGUGGAGCUUGAACUCAUGAACCAUGAGAUCAUGACCUGAGCCAAAGUUGGACACUUAACCAACUGAGCCACCCAGGUGCUAAUUAAAUUCUUGAUUGUUGAUAGGAAUUGCUGAAAACUCAUGUAAAAUAUCUCCUUUCUUCAAGACUGUUACUAUUUAAGGCUGUGGAUCUCAAUCCUGUUUCCACCUAGAAUUACCAGAGGGAUAAAGAAAAAUUAUGUCUGAGCCCCAUACUGAGAGAUACUGAUUUAUUUGGACUAGGAUAAGGAUGCCUCUUAAGCUAGAACUCUAGGUUUGGGACCUGGGUAUUGGUAUGUUUUAAAAACUGUCCUUGUAAUUUUUAAUAUUCAGCCAAGAUUAAAAGCCAGUAACUUAAAGCUUAAGUCUUUAUUGGCCGUAUCAGAGUUCUAUAAAAAACAUCUGUAAUUAUCUUUCUGUGCUUUGAGUAAACAUCUGGAGUAGAUGUUGCAAGCAAUGAUUAAAAACAAAACUACAGCUUUCCAAAGGUCCAGUUGACCCUUGAAACAACACUGAUUUAAAAUGCGUGGGUCCACUUAUAUACAAAUUUUUUCCAUUAAGUACAGUACUGUAAACGUGUUUUCAUUAUGAUUUUUUUUCUUUUUUAAUGUUUAUUUAUUUUGAGAGAGAGAGCAUGAGCAGGGAAGGGGCAGAGAGAGGGAGAAAGAGAGAAUCCCAAGUAGGCUUUCAUUAGCACAGAGCCAGAUUCGGGGCUCAAACCCACAAAUUGUGAUAACAUGACUUGAGCCAAAAUCAGAGUCUGGACGCUUAACUGACUGAGCGCCACUGCUCCCUCCUCUCCGGCCCCCCCACCCCCCUGCCAUGUUUAAGAUUUUCUUAAUAACAUGUUCUUUUCCCUUGCUUUAUUAUAAGAAUACAGUAUAUAACACAUAUACAAAAUAUGUGUUGAUCAGCUGUUAUUAUCAGUAAGGCUUUUAGUCAACAGUAGGCUAUUAGUAGUUAAGUUUUAGGGAAGUCAGAAGUUGUAUGUGGAUGUUUAACUGCUUGUGGGGGGGGGGGAUCAGCGCCCCUAACCCCUGCGUUAUUCAGGGAUCAUCAGUACUGAAGAUACACCCCAAUCAAGAUACAGUCCAAUCAAGAUAGUAACCUCAGUUUUUGCAGUGUUAGUUUCAUACCUAUGGUUAAAAGCAUUGGUUCUGGAACUACAUGGGCUCAAGUCUUGGUUCCUUCUUUCUCUGGUCAUUUGAUUUAGAGUAGGUUAUUUUAUCAUUUCAUUUUUAAAAUGGAGAAAAUAAAAUGAUCUCUUUUAUGGAGUUGUGGGCUAAAUGAGUUCAUAUGUUAAGCACUUAGAACAGUGCCGGGAACUUAGGAAAGCAUUAUGAAAAUUGUUAGCCAUGAUGAUUAUGGUGGCAGUGGUGUGAUAUUCUUUUGUGUUGAUUACUAUUUUAAUCAGUCCUCUAUUUGUAGACAUAUUUCUAGUUUUUCAGUAUUAUAAAUACUGCUAUGACAGACAGCCAUUUACAUCAAUUUUUAUAAAUUUCUUCAAUUCCUAGAAUUAGUUCAUUGAUCUUGUAUAGGGUGGGAGUAAGUGUUAAAAGAAGCUUCUUUGAACCACCCCUAAUGAGGAUUAUUUUGUUAGAUUGGUGUGGUUAUUGUUAAUCCAAGUUUGAACUUUAAAUGGGGAUAACUAAUUGGUCCUUAGAAAAAUGCCACAACAGUGUCUUUAUGUAAUGUAAAAAAAGUUUCCCUCACUUUAUCUAGCUAUUUUUAAAAAAUUAUUGCCUAUAUUGAGGUCUGUGUGCCGAACACAAUUCCAAGUGUUUUGUAAUAUUACAUUGAUAUUUAUAAACCUGUGAGGUGUUUACAAAUCAGGUAAUUGAGACAUAGAGAAGUUAAGUUCUACAGUUGAUACAAGGUCUGCCAGGAUCAAAGGUAAUUUGAUUUUGCAUUUAGUGCUCCAAAAUUCUAAGUAUACUUUUCUUACUUGGCUUAUAGCAACUUUACUUUGAUCUACUUACAGAUGUUUAUUUACUUUUGUGAGAGAGAGAGAGCGCGUGCGCGAGCGAGUGCAGGAGCAAGAGCAGGGCAGAGAGAGAGAGACAGAGACACAGAAUUCGAAGCAGGCUGCAGGCUCUGAGCUGUCAGCACAGAACCCGAUGUGGGGCUCAAACCUGCAAACCGUGAGAUCAUGACCUAAGUCAGACGCUUAAUGGACUGAGCCACCCAGGUGCCCCUACAGAGGUUCUUUCUUAAAAGCCUGUUCAUAAACAAAGUUACAUUAAUCUUUCAGGUUUAAAGUUGCCUUUCAGGUGUAAAAUUUUAUUUCUUAAUUCUAUACCUAGUUACAAGUAUCUAGUUAGAGUCUUUAAAACCUCAAUUGGGUUUUCUUUUAAGGAUCAAUUUGCCUUCUGUGCCUUCUCUUUCUGCAGCAGACAUCUUAAUUUAUCUAGUGGGGCCCAUCUCUCUAAUUCUGACUUGCUCAAGUAGCUUUAUAAACGUUGUGCUUAUGCACGAAGAUGUUGAGGGGUGGGAGGGUUGCAGCUGCAAGUCAUUCUUUCUCAGCGAAUUUCCUAUAAUUCUUCUCAGUCUGAAGGUUGGAAUGAUUUAAUGGUUUUCUUUCCAAAGGGUAGACUUUUAUAAUGUUCCAUUUUAAAACACAUAUUAUAAACAAAUAGAUACCCAUGUAGGUACUCUGAAAUUUGGAAUUAUGGUCAUAUGAAUUGGAGGAGCUUAUGAUAUAAAUUUAUAAGCACAAUUUGAUAAAUUAAUCUUUGUUUACUUGGCUUUUGCUUUUGAGCUGUGACAAUUAGAUUAAACUUGUUUACUGACAAGAUGGAGUUGUAUAAAAUCUUUAACAAGUUUUUUAAAUUAAGAGUGUUCAGUACAAGAGAUAACUAAUAUUUCGUAACAAUGAUUAAGCCUUUUUUAGGUUAUUCAUUCUACUAACGCACGUUUUACAAAUAAUAGUAAACUAAUGUAAAUAAACAUGAUUAAGAUAAUUUCCUGUGUUAGUAAAUGUAACAAUACUCAGAAGAAUCUGAAAGAAAUAUAGAUCAUUUUUGAAUCAAAAACUGAAUGAAUAAAUCUGCAUAAUGAAAUGCAAGUUAAAAGAUUUUAAGCCUAAUUUUAGCACUUACACUUUUUAUUUAGUUUUGGCAGUAGUGGUGUGGGUGAUUGUCCAUGUUUAAAGUUAGUUUGAUUCACACAUUGUUUUUGAGAAAAAAAAAAAACAACAUAAGAAAAUUAAGGGAUGAUACAAAUAUGCAAAUCUAGAGGUCUUAAAGUGUACAUAAAAAAUGCCUUUCUUUGGUAUGAUACAAUAAUUUACGGUCAAAUAUUUUAAUAUUUGUGUAUCUUGUAAGUACCCUUUAGCAUCAUUUACAGGUGUCUCAUUUAUGGAAAACUCCCCCAGAUGGCAUCAACCUAUCUAGGAUCAAGGGGCAGAUUCCUGAAAUAACCUGGACCAAUGGCAUUUUCUUACCCGGGAAUUAUUGUAGCUAAUGUAUCUGUUCAUUCAUUCACCAAAUGUUUAUUGAAGGCCUGUUAUAGGAUAGACAUUGUUCUUUUGUUUUUUGUUUUGGAUAAACAUUGUUUUAAUUGCUAGAGAUAUAAUAGUAGAAAAGACAGAUAAAACAAAGUUCUUGCCCUCCUGAAACAAAUUAAAUUGUGGCUUGACAUAGAGAUGGUGGCAUUCAAGAGGGAAGACCCAUAAAUAUGUGCUGUCAUGGUCUGCAGAACUCCCCUGGUUCUGUCAUCCUGAUGAUUUAAUUCUUUCUUCAGUUCUGUGAACUGGAGUUCUUACUUCAGUAUCCUUCCAGUCUUUCCAAUAAAGCUGAUUGCUUCCCUCUCUUACUUAUAAUUUCUUCAAUUUGUUUUAAAUCAAAAGAGCUUAAAUAUAAUUGGGCCUGGAGUAGGGUUUUAUGAUGGACUCCACUUAGGUUAGAUGUCUGCUCAAGACUGGACAGACAGCUUGCCCAUGAAGAUGUGGGAUUUGCAUACAAAUGGUAACUUCUUAACAGUUUCAAUCUUAAGAACAGAGAGAUGAGCAUUUUACCGCAGAAAUUUGUUCUGUUUUCUCUAUAGACGAAACAAUGUCCCUACAGCGCAUACCAAUGUUGUGUUGUGUUAGGAUUUUCAAAUUGUAUUCUAUAGUAUCUCAUGUUUUUAUUAAGAAGUUAUAGGAACUUUCUGGACGUUAGGAUCUAGUACUUAUAUUUAAUAGUCUGUCUGAAGUUGACUUCUUCGUUCUCAAAAGAUGAAAAAAGCAAAAAUAUUCUGGUCUCAGAAGAUAUAAAAACUAUUACUUUUCACAAUAAUUACUUUUGUGUGUUGAACUAAUGCUUUCAAGAUUUUGGCCUUCAACAUUUUGUAUUUCUCAUAGCUCACUUAUUAAAUCAUUAAUAGCUUGAAGGCCGUCACCAUGUCACCACAUUCUAUAUAUGCCAUCUUAAACAGAGAUGAUGUUCAAUAAAUGUUGGCAUGAUUUGAAUUUAACAAAAAUUGACCAUAUAUAGUUUUAUCACGGGUUUGGUUUAAAUGAAUUCAUUAUUACAAGAUUAUGAAGUAUUUUUUAGUUGCAGAAAAAUAUUCAAGGUCCUCUCUUUUCUUUUUAUCUUGAACUGAUUUUAGACAGAAAAGUUGCAAAAAUAGGACAGAGUUUCUAUAUAUCCCUUACCAGCUUCAUCUAAUGUUAACGUCUUGUGUAGCCAUUGGAUGGUUAUCAAACCUCAGAAAGUAACACUGGUACAAUACUAUUAAGUAAACUAUAGACUUUAUUUGAAUUUUACCUGUUUUUCCACUAAUGCCCUUUUUCUGAUCAGGAUCCCACAUUGGAUUUAGUUGUUCUUUCAUCUUAAUUCUUCAGUACUUAGAAGUACUUUAGUGCUUUGUUUUUCAUGACCUCAGUUUGGUUGUUCAGUGGUUUCUCAUGAUUAUGUUGUGAGAUCGUUGAGCACAAUGGUCAAGAAAGAAUUCUUGAGAUGUUUCAUGGUGCAAAUAGUAAGUUCACUCAAGUAGCAUGGGGACAAGACUCAUGGGCAGAAAGAGCUGCACUUUUGCUCUCUGAAGCUGGUGGUUUGUGCUUAGUGCUCAAGGGGGAGGGGACAUGCAAGGAGUAUUAGAUCAUAAAUGUUUUCUUCAGAUUUCUACUUGUGAAACUACUUUCACAAGAUUUCUCUGAUGCUUAUUUUUCAGCUCGAUAUUAACUAUCGGUGAGAUGUACAGGCAGUCAUGAAACCCUUUAAGAAUAUAGCAACCAGCCCUUACUAUCCUCGCAGAAACUAUGCAGGCUGUAGGUCAUCCUCCUGGGCUAAAGGUGGACAUUUUUUGCUUCUAUCCCUCAUCAGUUAGACUGAAGUUACACAGGUUUGACAAGAAUACUACAAAAAUGGUAUGUGCUCAUGAAGUCAAUAUGUUUUAUUUACUGGUGAUGUUGAUUUUGUUCACUUGGUUAAGGUGGUUUCUGCUGGUGUAUCCACUGUAAAGCUACUAUCUUUCCCUUUGUAGUUAAUAAAUUUCUUGGGAGAUACUUUGAGACUUUGCAAAUAACAGUCAAGGACCCUUUAUCUUUCUUUUCUCCCUUUAACUAAUGACCAUUCAAAAUGGAUCUUUGUUUUCCUUGGGUCCCACCCAGUUCAGGUCGGCUUCCUUAAAUUUAGUUCCUUGUUCAAAGGGUCAGGUAUGCAAAAUGCUAGGAAUGUAAAAAUGAACAAGCGCCAAAUCACCUAAUAGUAUACUUUGGCAUCAGAAGACUUGAUUUCAGAUCCUCAUUUUGAGUCUUGAGUUGUGUGAAAUUGUGCAGUUUGCUUAACUUCACUGAGCCAAACGUUCAUCUCACAGAAUUAUUAAUGAGAAAUAAAUAUAAAAUUCUAGAAAAGGCAAAACUAAUCUGUAAUGAUAGUGCAUUAUUGGUUGCCUGGGGCUAAGGAUGGGAAGCUGAGUUCAAAGGGGGCUGAGGAAGCUUUUUCAGAUGAAGGAAAUUCCUAAAUUUUAAUUAUUUUUCUAAAACUCAUCCUACUGUACAUUUGAAGUUAGCAUAUUUUAUUGUAUAUAAAUUAUAUGGCAAUGAAGUUAAUUGAAGAACUGAAGUUCUUUUUGAACAUGAUUUUCUAUUUAAUGAUGCAAGAUAUGAUUACUUGGAAUCCAUAAAAGUCUUUGGUUUUCAAAAUCAUCCAGCUCUCCCCUAGUUCAGAGGAGCCUUGUGACACCAUGGCCAUGUGCAGAGUGAUCCAAGAGUUCAUUCAGGUCUGUAGUCUUUAUAAUUUAGUAAGUCUUGGGUCUAAGUCUCUUAAGUCACUUAAAAAAAAUUUUUUUUUAAUGUUUAUUUUUGAGAGAGAGAGAGAGAGAGAGGGAGAGAGAGAGAGAGAAUGAGUGGGAAAGGGGCAGAGAGAAGGAGACAGAGAAUCCCAAGCAGGUCCAGCUCUGAGCUGUCAGCACAGAGCCCGACACUGGGCUGGAACUUAACAGUGGGGACCUGAGCUGAAGUCAGAUGCUUAAGAAGUUGCAUGCUUAAUGCUUAACCAACUGAGCCACCUAGGUGCCCCUUAAGUCACUCAUUCUUAAAUAGAUUCCAAACCCUUAGGGAUCUUCUUUGGUGUGAUUUGAAUCCAGAGCCUUUGGUCUUCUUAGAACCUUUUGAAUUAAUGAUCUGGGAGGGGUGUGUUGAUUACCCAGGAGGUCAAGUUGACUGAAAUCCACUCUUGAGACUCUUUGAGUACAGAAUUUUAUCCUUUCCUUUGUAACUCCAGAAUAUGCUGAAACCUGACAAGCUCCUGGGAAUUCUUACUUGGUAAUCUGUAGUUUUUAAGAUUGGUGUACCCAUGUGCGUAUAUACAUAUGAACUGAUGUCUAAUUUAUUCUUAGAGUGUUUAAGGACUUUAGUAGAGAAAUAAUUUUUAUAUGUGUAUUUUAAGAUCUUGUUCCUUUCCAUGUAAUUUAAAAGUCAUAUUCUGUAGAAAGUAGAUUAGUAUUUUAUAAUUCUGACUUCUUGUUUUGAUGCUAGGCAAAAGAAGGAGAACUGUUAGGAUUUGUAGUGCUCACGGUUCUAAUUGGCAGCAUAUAAAGGCCGUUUAAUUUUGUUUUUCUCUGAUUGUAGUAAAUUCAAUUGGUAGCUCUCCCCCUAGAAAGAUCAAAGGCUGAAAGGAUUAAUGAAAAGAUGUAUAGUUUUUUAGAUAGUAAUAUAUUUAAAUAGAAAUUCUAAAUAUGCAGAUAAGCUACUAAUUGAUAGACUGCUUAAAGGCAGGGGCAGAGCUUUUGACUCAUGUAGUUGGUGUUUAAUACAGUUUUGUUAGUGGUAUCAAGAUGACUUUGAACUGUGCUGGAUAAAUUACAAUUACAUGUUACAUUUAAAUCUGAAGUAAAAAGUCAGGAUUGGAUUUUUACCUCAAAUUCAGGUUCAUUUUAAAGUACUGUAUAUUUUACACCUUCUGCCAAAUAUGUUGUUCUUUUAAAUGUAACUGAUGGCAUUUAGUAAAUAUAUACUAUGUAUGUUACAUAGUAUGUAUAUGUAAUGUGUAUAUGCAUUAUUAAUAGAGAAAUCUUACAAAUUUUGUUUUCAGGUUAUAUUCCUGUGAGAACCUAUUUUGGGGUGGGAUACAAGGGCUAAUAACUAAAAAUAACUGUCUUUCUACUAGGUAUUUCUAUAGGCUAUACACUUUUUUUAAAUAUAUUUUUUAAUGUUUAUUUUGUUUUUUGAGGGAGAGAGAGAGUGGGAGAGAGGUGGAGAGAGUGGAAGACACAGAAUCUGAAGCAGGUUCCAGGCUCUGAGCUGUCAGCACAGAGCCCAAAGUGGGG